rnacentral:tRNA from 1 species
GGGGCUGUAGCUCAGUGGUAGAGCACUUGCCUCACAUGUGUGAGGAGCUGGGUUCAAUCCUCAGCACCACCU